GUUAUACUCCCUCCGUCCGGAAAUACUUAUCAUCAAAAUGAAUAAAAGAGGGUGUAUCUAGAUGUAUUUUAGUUCUAGAUACAUCUCCUUUUGUCCAUUUUGAUGACAAGUAUUUUCGGACGGAGGGAGUACAAA
rnacentral:pre_miRNA from 1 species